rnacentral:sRNA from 1 species
UGAAAAGUUCUGGAAAUGGAUGGUGGCGGUUGCAUGACAUUAUAGAUGUACUUUACUCAAUGCUGUUGAAACGUAGUUAAAAUGGCAGAUUUUAUGUUGUAUCUGUUUUAACACAAAUAAAAAAGGUGCCAAGCCUGGCAUCCGCCUUCCCUGCCAUCUCGAGGCGCGUCCUCUGACCUCUGCUGCUGCCUCCUGCUCCUGCCUGCUCUCUCCAGCUCAUCUGUUGACCGACUCCCAGCUUCCAGGCUUGGCUGUGUGGGUCCUGACCAUUCUUGCCAACUCUCUCCUCAGCUGAACUUUGACCUGGACCGGGGCGUGUUUCCAGUGGUCAUCCAGGCUGUGGUGGACGAAGGAGAUGUGGUGGAAGUGACCGGCCAUGCCCACGUGCUCUUGGCCGCCUUUGAAAAGCACAUGGACGGCAGCUUCUCUGUGAAGCCUUUAAAGCAGAAGCAAAUUGUGGACCGGGUCAGCUACCUCCUGCAGGAGAUCUACGGCAUCGAGAACAAGAACAACCAGGAGACCAAGCCCUCGGAUGACGAGAACAGCGACA